rnacentral:rRNA from 1 species
UACGGAAGGGGCAAGCGUUGUUCGGAAUUAUUGGGCGUAAAGGGCGCGUAGGUGGUUUUGUGUGUCUAUCGUGAAAGGGUACAGCUCAACUGUAGCGAGUCGGUAGAAACUGCAGGACUUGAGGCUGGGAGGGGCUGGUGGAAUUCCCUGUGUAGCGGUGAAAUGCGUAGAGAUGGGGGAGAACACUCGUGGCGAAGGCGGCCAGCUAGACCAGUUCUGACACUGAGGCGCGAUAGCGUGGGGAGCAAACAGG